rnacentral:rRNA from 1 species
ACGGCUAACUACGUGCCAGCAGCCGCGGUAAUACGUAGGUGGCGAGCGUUAUCCGGAAUGAUUGGGCGUAAAGGGUGCGUAGGUGGCAGAUCAAGUCUGGAGUAAAAGGUAUGGGCUCAACCCGUACUGGCUCUGGAAACUGAUCAGCUAGAGAACAGAAGAGGACGGCGGAACUCCAUGUGUAGCGGUAAAAUGCGUAGAUAUAUGGAAGAACACCGGUGGCGAAGGCGGCCGUCUGGUCUGGAUUCUGACACUGAAGCACGAAAGCGUGGGGAGCAAAUAGGAUUAGAUACCCUAGUAGUCCACGCCGUAAACGAUGAGAACUAGGUGUUGGGGGAAUAACUCAGUGCCGCAGUUAACGCAGUAAGUUCUCCGCCUGGGGAGUAUGCACGCAAGUGUGAAACUCAAAGGAAUUGACGGGGGCCCGCACAAGCGGUGGAGUAUGUGGUUUAAUUCGAAGCAACGCGAAGAACCUUACCAGGCCUUGACAUCCCUUGCAGAGGUAUAGAGAUAUAUCCGAGGUUAUCAAGGAGACAGGUGGUGCAUGGUUGUCGUCAGCUCGUGUCGUGAGAUGUUGGGUUAAGUCCCGCAACGAGCGCAACCCUUGUGAUAUGUUACUAACAUUGAGUUGAGGACUCAUAUCAGACUGCCGGUGAUAAACCGGAGGAAGGUGGGGAUGACGUCAAAUCAUCAUGCCCCUUAUGGCCUGGGCUACACACGUACUACAAUGGCGUCUACAAAGAGCGGCAAGCCUGUGAAGGCAAGCGAAUCUCAUAAAGGACGUCUCAGUUCGGAUUGAAGUCUGCAACCCGACUUCAUGAAGCUGGAAUCGCUAGUAAUCGCGAAUCAGCAUGUCGCGGUGAAUACGUUCUCGGGCCUUGUACACACCGCCCGUCAAACCAUGGGAGUUGGUAAUGCCCGAAGCCGGUGGCAUAACCCUUCGGGGAGUGAGCCGUCGAAGGCAGGACCGAUGACUGGGGUUAAGUCGUAACAAGGUAUCCCUACGGGAACGUGGGGAUG